UGUAUUCGAUAAGUCAUAACGACUCUCGGCAACGGAUAUCUCGGCUCUCGCAUCGAUGAAGAACGUAGCAAAAUGCGAUACGUGGUGUGAAUUGCAGGAUCCCGUGAACCAUCGAGUUUUUGAACGCAAGUUGCGCCCGAAGCCUUUAGGCCGA
rnacentral:rRNA from 6 species